rnacentral:rRNA from 1 species
UACGUAGGGGGCAAGCGUUGUCCGGAUUUAUUGGGCGUAAAGAGCGUGUAGGCGGCCUGAAAGGUCAGCUGUGAAAACUCGAGGCUCAACCUCGAGACGUCGGCGGAAACCAUCUGGCUAGAGUCCGGAAGAGGAGAGUGGAAUUCCUGGUGUAGCGGUGAAAUGCGCAGAUAUCAGGAAGAACACCCGUGGCGAAGGCGGCUCUCUGGGACGGUACUGACGCUGAGACGCGAAAGCGUGGGGAGCGAACAGG